rnacentral:rRNA from 1 species
AGUGAACGCUGGCGGUAGGCCUAACACAUGCAAGUCGAACGGCAGCACAGUAAGAGCUUGCUCUUACGGGUGGCGAGUGGCGGACGGGUGAGGAAUACAUCGGAAUCUACUUUUUCGUGGGGGAUAACGUAGGGAAACUUACGCUAAUACCGCAUACGACCUACGGGUGAAAGCAGGGGAUCUUCGGACCUUGCGCGAUUGAAUGAGCCGAUGUCGGAUUAGCUAGUUGGCGGGGUAAAGGCCCACCAAGGCGACGAUCCGUAGCUGGUCUGAGAGGAUGAUCAGCCACACUGGAACUGAGACACGGUCCAGACUCCUACGGGCGGCAGCAGUGGGGAAUAUUGGACACUGGGCGCAAGCCUGAUCCAGCCAUACCGCGUGGGUGAAGAAGGCCUUCGGGUUGUACAGCCCUUUUGUUGGGAAAGAAAAGCAGCAGGUUAAUACCCCGCUGUUCUGACGGUACCCAAAGAAUAAGCACCGGCUAACCUCGUG